UUUACUGUUCCCAGACCCAUCAGAGCAAUCACUACAGUAACUAUGGCAUUAAGAAACUCAUUUUAAAGGGAUAAGACUUAAACGUUGAAAUUACCCCUUAAUCCACAGACUCCAGAAUGGCUUGAAAACAACGUUAAUCUUGCCAUAUACAUCCAUCAGAAGUCUUGGGUAACUAGGUACAUUGUCAUCAAAUGGAAUUCCCAGAGGCUGUGUCCUAGAGGAUUCUAGACCAUCUCAAGUGGACAGUGGUAGCCAUCAUAGCUGAGCCGGGAAGACUGGGAAAUCAAGACCAACUUGGGCUGCACAGCGAGAGCUUUUCUCAAACAAAACACAGUAAAACAAAACACCUCACAAAGGCAUCAGUUGUGUUCACCUCUGAUGAGGAAGGGAGCUUGGCACGAGGCCAGGCAUUGAUUUCUCCUCUUUAUGAAAGUCCUCGAUGGCAUCUUCCUCCAGGGAAGCUCCUUAAACAGGAAGGUAAACAAUUCAAAAUAGCUUCAGGAAGUUCCUGAAACCGAUCAGAUUCACUAGGACCCUCCUGGCCAGGGCAAGCAAUAAGAACCGAGUCCUUCUCAGACCAAAAGAGGCAAGCAGCAAGGAAAACUAUGAGAGGAGACCAGCUGCCUAGAAGAAGCAGAAACCAGCCUAGCUGCUCGGAAGAGGUUUGGACCAACUGAGGCACCUGGAAAGGACACUCUCCAGCCUGUUGAUCUGCCUGCAGACUCUGCAGUAUACUCCAGAUUCUCAGCUUUUGUGAGCUGUCACCCAUGCUGGGGUGGGAUUUGAUGAUCCCGCUGCCUUUGAGUCAUUUCUGCUCCUCACCCAUAUUCCUGUCAGA